AUUGAACGCUGGCGGCAGGCCUAACACAUGCAAGUCGAGCGAGAGGCGGACGGGUGAGUAAUGUAUGGGGACUGCCCGAUAGAGGGGGAUAACUACUGGAAACGGUGGCUAAUACCGCAUACUAUCGGAUAACCCAUAUGGGAUUAGGUAGUGGGUGGGGUAAAGGCUCACCUAGGCGACGAUCUCUAGCUGGUCUGAGAGGAUGAGCAGCCAACAUGGGACUGAGACACGGCCCAGACUCCUACGGAGGCAGCAGUGGGGAAUAUUGCAGAAUGGGCGCAAGCCUGAUGCAGCCAUGCCGCGUGUAUGAAGAAAGGCUUCGGGUUGUAAAGUCUUUUUGUUAGGGAAGCGGUACCUAAAGAAUAAGCACCGGCUAACUACGUGCCAGCAGCCGCGGUAAUAC
rnacentral:rRNA from 1 species